rnacentral:rRNA from 1 species
UUGUACCUACGGGACGCAGCAGUGGGGAAUAUUGGACAAUGGGGGGAACCCUGAUCCAGCGACGCCGCGUGAGUGAAGAAGUAUUUCGGUAUGUAAAGCUCUAUCAGCAGGGAAGAAAGAAAUGACGGUACCUGACUAAGAAGCCCCGGCUAACUACGUGCCAGCAGCCGCGGUAAUACGUAGGGGGCAAGCGUUAUCCGGAUUUACUGGGUGUAAAGGGAGCGUAGACGGCAGCGCAAGUCUGGAGUGAAAUGCCGGGGCCCAACCCCGGAACUGCUUUGGAAACUGUGCAGCUGGAUGGCAGG